rnacentral:rRNA from 1 species
GUGAGGAAUAUUGGUCAAUGGGCGAUGGCCUGAACCAGCCAAGUAGCGUGAAGGAUGACUGCCCUAUGGGUUGUAAACUUCUUUUAUAAAGGAAUAAAGUCGGGUAUGCAUACCCGUUUGCAUGUACUUUAUGAAUAAGGAUCGGCUAACUCCGUGCCAGCAGCCGCGGUAAUACGGAGGAUCCGAGCGUUAUCCGGAUUUAUUGGGUUUAAAGGGAGCGUAGAUGGAUGUUUAAGUCAGUUGUGAAAGUUUGCGGCUCAACCGUAAAAUUGCAGUUGAUACUGGAUGUCUUGAGUGCAGUUGAGGCAGGCGGAAUUCGUGGUGUAGCGGUGAAAUGCUUAGAUAUCACGAAGAACUCCGAUUGCGAAGGCAGCCUGCUAAGCUGCAACUGACAUUGAGGCUCGAAAGUGUGGGUAUCAAACAGGAUUAGAUACCCUUGUAGUCC